CAAGCAGCGGAGCGUGUGGUUUAAUUCGAUGUUACACGAAGAACCUUACCUGGGUUUGACAUGCUAGUGGUAAUGAAGCGAAAGCUAAGUGACCCGCAGGGGAGCUAGCACAGGUGCUGCAUGGCUGUCGUCAGCUCGUGUCGUGAGAUGUUCGGUUAAGUCCGCUAACGAGCGCAACCCUCGUCGUGUGUUAUACGUGUCACACGAUACUGCCGGUAUCAAGCCGGAGGAAGGUGGGGAUGAUGUCAAGUCAGCAUGGCCUUUAUAUCCUGGGCUACACACACGCUACAAUGGCAGAUACAAUAGGUUGCGAAACCGCGAGGUGGAGCCAAUCCUCAAAGUCUGUCUCAGUUCAGAUUGUAGGCUGCAACUCGCCUGCAUGAAGUUGGAGUUGCUAGUAAACGCAGGUCAGCUAUACUGCGUUGAAUACGUUCCCGGGGUUU
rnacentral:rRNA from 1 species